rnacentral:rRNA from 1 species
AUUGAACGCUGGCGGCAGGCCUAACACAUGCAAGUCGAACGAGUGGCGGACGGGUGAGUAAUGUCUGGGAAACUGCCUGAUGGAGGGGGAUAACUACUGGAAACGGUAGCUAAUACCGCAUACCAUCGGAUGUGCCCAGAUGGGAUUAGCUAGUGGGUGGGGUAACGGCUCACCUAGGCGACGAUCCCUAGCUGGUCUGAGAGGAUGACCAGCCACACUGGGACUGAGACACGGUCCAGACUCCUACGGGAGGCAGCAGUGGGGAAUAUUGCACAAUGGGCGCAAGCCUGAUGCAGCAAUGCCGCGUGUAUGAAGAAGGCCUUCGGGUUGUAAAGUACUUUCAGCGGGGAGGCGUUACCCGCAGAAGAAGCAACGGCUAACUACGUGCCAGCAGCCGCGGUAAUUC